UACGGAGGAUGCAAGCGUUAUCCGGAAUUAUUGGGCGUAAAGCGUCCGCAGGUGGCAUUGUAAGUCUGCUGUCAAAGCGUCUGGCUCAACCAGAUAAAGGCAGUGGAAACUACAUAGCUAGAGUAAGGUAGGGGUAGAGGGAAUUCCUGGUGUAGCGGUGAAAUGCGUAGAGAUCAGGAAGAACACCGGUGGCGAAAGCGCUCUGCUGGACCUUAACUGACACUGAGGGACGAAAGCUAGGGGAGCGAAUGGG
rnacentral:rRNA from 1 species